UUUUUCACUGCUGCUAGCACGUCUUUAUUUGUUUUUGCUAGUAACUAUAUUGUUCUUUUUACAGAGGUUCUUCACUGAUUUUGGAGGUGAGUCACAAAAAAAACCACAUGGCCAAUUUUGAAGCUUCCAUCUUCUGAUUCUUUAAAUGAAUAAUUGGCUUUGGCUUCUUGACGGGUUAUGGAGGUGAAUCAUAACGGUUCAGAUCCAAUUUUGAUGGCAGGUAACAAAGAAAGAAACUAAAGGGGAAAAAAGAAAAGAAAAAAGGAUCGAACUAAAUUAUUCUUCUUACAUCAUUACUUCCUUAAGGUUCAGGAGGUUUCUGUUUGCUGUUUUUCCUACUAACUAUAUAUUGUUCUUUCAGGUUAUUUAGAUGAAUGAUUGGCUUUGGCUUCGACACGGGUGCAAAAAGUGAAUCACAUCAGUUCCACUUCAAUUUGCAUUACUACUCAAUUACAUAAGGAGGGACACUUAUCUGCACACAGAAGCAAACGCCAACGACUCAUGGACCAAAUGGAGCGUGUGCGUGCUCGGCACCGACAAUGGCGAGAGUCAAUGAGUUCUUCACAACGUCAAGCAUACUUGGCACGACGACGCGCAAUAGCUCAAGAAAAGCGACCCGUGGUGGAAACUAGCCCAAGUAACAGAGCUGAACAAGCUCCAGAAGAAUUUGACAAUGAAGGCACAAGUUCAAGAAUUUCUUCAAAUUCCAACAACCCCGAACAAGACUACUCAAGGGUUCGCUUAACUCGCAUAAGACAAAUGGCACGUUCGAAUAGAUCAGAAACAAGCGAUGGAGUUGUCCGAAUUUCUACUCGCUAUGGUGAGCUUAAUAUAUUAGUCAAACGGUCAGAGUCACAUAUAAGAACCAAAAUAUUGAAUUUAGUCAUGGACAGACUAUCCCACAUGUAGGUGUUUACCUCCCAGAUCAUGUUUUUAGUCAUGGACAAUUAUAUGUGGCAUUGUCGAGAGGAGUAUCGGAGUCAACCACAAAAGUUCUGGUUAAAAAAGGAUCCAUAGUUGGUGAAGAUGGCGUAUUUACAAAGAAUGUCGUAUUUAAAGAAGUUUUGCUUCAUUCAAACACAAAUGAUAGAUCGUCUUCAUAGGAAUGGUACCAGAUCGUCGCCCUCAACAAAUGAAAAAUUUCUAAAGAGACAAGGGCCAUAGGAGGCAUGUUUCCGUAUUUUUCAUGUGGUUGGUGCAUGGGAAAAUCAGUAAAAAUGAACAUUAUUAUCUCAGUUAG